rnacentral:lncRNA from 1 species
AGACUUUUUGAAUUCUAUUGUUUAAGAGCAGAUCAUUAAAGUGGAAACAUUACUUUGCUUUUUCCCAAGGUGGAUAUCUUUGGACCUCGCACACGAUAUAUGGGUCUUCUCUUUCUUAAUCCUGAGGCAGAUGAUGCUGCUGAGUAAAAUCGAAAUCACACAUCAAAGCAGAUUGAGACCACUCUAAAUUUGUGAUCACAAAACCUCAUCUAGGCCCUCAGUGCUGCCAAGAAGGCCUGUUAUGACAUUUUAAAAUAACUUAAAUCCUUUAAAAAAUGGCAUCUUUUUUUUUUUUUUUUUACUGGUAUAUGGCUUUUAAAGUUCUUCAAAACCUUUCUUCCCCCCAGAACUUGAGAAGAUCCAACCAGUCUGUCAAAGGAGUAACAAAUUUGCAAAGGUGA